UGAACGCUAGCGGCAGGCCUAACACAUGCAAGUCGAGGGGGAGGUUACUUUCGGGUAACUGAGACCGGCGUACGGGUGCGUAACGCGUAUACAAUCUGCCUUUCACUGGGGGAUAGCCCGAAGAAAUUUGGAUUAAUACCCCAUAGUAUAGUAAUACGGCAUCGUGAUGCUAUUAAAGCUUAGGUGGUGAAAGAUGAGUAUGCGUUCUAUUAGCUAGUUGGAGAGGUAACGGCUCCCCAAGGCGAUGAUAGAUAGGGGUUCUGAGAGGGAUGUCCCCCACACUGGUACUGAGAUACGGACCAGACUCCUACGGGAGGCAGCAGUGAGGAAUAUUGAACAAUGGUCGGAAGACUGAUCCAGCCAUGCCGCGUGCAGGAUGAAGGUCUUAUGGAUUGUAAACUGCUUUUGUAAGGGAAGAAUAAGGGCUACGCGUAGUUUGAUGACGGUACCUUACGAAUAAGCAUCGGCUAACUCCGUG
rnacentral:rRNA from 1 species